rnacentral:rRNA from 1 species
GACGAACGCUGGCGGCGUGCCUAAUACAUGCAAGUUGAGCGCUGAAGGUUGGUACUUGUACCAACUGGAUGAGCAGCGAACGGGUGAGUAACGCGUGGGGAAUCUGCCUUUGGGCGGGGGACAACAUUUGGAAACGAAUGCUAAUACCGCAUAAAAACUUUAAACACAAGUUUUAAGUUUGAAAGAUGCAAUUGCAUCACUCAAAGAUGAUCCCGCGUUGUAUUAGCUAGUUGGUGAGGUAAAGGCUCACCAAGGCGAUGAUACAUAACCGACCUGAGAGGGUGAUCGGCCACAUUGGGACUGAGACACGGCCCAAACUCCUACGGGAGGCAGCAGUAGGGAAUCUUCGGCAAUGGACGAAAGUCUGACCGAGCAACGCCGCGUGAGUGAAGAAGGUUUUCGGAUCGUAAAACUCUGUUGGUAGAGAAGAACGUUGGUGAGAGUGGAAAGCUCAUCAAGUGACGGUAACUACCCAGAAAGGGACGGCUAACUACGUG